GUAAUGCGAAGGUAACCAACCCUGAAGUUGGGCAUAGCCGCGGGAAACUGCGGGUAAUUCCCAGCGACGUUGCGAGAUGGCAUCAUUUUGCAACCAAAGGUGUGAUUCCGCUUUAGGACGGGCCUUCGUGGUAUUAGGUAGUUGGUGAGGUAACGGCUCACCAAGCCUACGAUGCCUACCGGGUGUGAGAGCAUGACCCGGCACACUGGAACUGAGACACUGUCCAGACACCUACGGGUGGCUGCAGUCGAGAAUCUUCGGCAAUGGGCGAAAGCCUGACCGAGCGACGCCGCGUGAGGGAUUGAAGGCCUUCGGGUUGUAAACCUCUUUCGUAGAGGAGGAAGGGGCUGUGAAGAACAGUCCUUGACCUAUUCUAGGAAGAAGCUUGGGCUAAGUUCGUGCCAGCAGCCGCGGUAAGACGAACCAAGCGAACGUUAUUCGGAAUUACUGGGCUUAAAGCGCGCGUAGGCGGACUACCACGUUGGUUGUUGAAAUCCCCCGGCUUAACCGGGGAACUGGCACCAAUACGAGUAGUCUGGAGGUGGGUAGGGGAGACUGGAACUUCCGGUGGAGCGGUGAAAUGCGUUGAGAUCGGAAGGAACGCCCGCGGCGAAAGCGAGUCUCUGGGCCCAUACUGACGCUGAGACG
rnacentral:rRNA from 1 species